UUUGAAACNCAUUCUGNCGGCNNGCCUAACACAUGCAAGUCGAACGAGAAAUUCACUUCGGUGAAUGGACAGUGGCGGACGGGUGCUUAACGCGUGGGAAUUUGCCUUAUGGUAGGGGACAACUAUUGGAAACGAUAGCUAAUACCUUAUGCUCCCUGAGGGGAAAAGAUUUAUCGCCAUGAGAUGAGCCCGCGUAAGAUUAGCUAGUUGGUAAGGUAAAGGCUUACCAAGGCAACGAUCUUUAGCUGGUCUGAGAGGAUGAUCAGCCACACUGGGACUGAGACACGGCCCAGACUCCUACGGGAGGCAGCAGUGGGGAAUAUUGGGCAAUGGGCGCAAGCCUGACCCAGCCAUGCCGCGUGAGUGAAGAAGGCCCUAGGGUUGUAAAGCUCUUUCAAUAGUGAAGAUAAUGACNGGUNACUAUAGAAGAAGCUCCGGCUAACUUCGUGCCAGCAGCCGCGGUAAU
rnacentral:rRNA from 1 species